rnacentral:rRNA from 1 species
AUUGAACGCUGGCGGCAGGCCUAACACAUGCAAGUCGAGCGGUAGAGAGGAGCUUGCUUCUCUUGAGAGCGGCGGACGGGUGAGUAAUGCCUAGGAAUCUGCCUAGUGGUGGGGGAUAACGUUCGGAAACGGACGCUAAUACCGCAUACGAUCUACGGAUGAAAGCGGGGGACUCGCAAGAGCCUCGCGCGAUUGGAGCGGCCGAUAUCAGAUUAGGUAGUUGGUAGGGUAAAGGCCUACCAAGCCAACGAUCUGUAGCUGGUCUGAGAGGACGACCAGCCACACUGGAACUGAGACACGGUCCAGACUCCUACGGGAGGCAGCAGUGGGGAAUUUUUGGACAAUGGGCGCAAGCCUGAUCCAGCAAUGCCGCGUGCAGGAAGAAAGGGCCCUUCGGGUUGUAAACUGCUUUUGUACGGAACGAAAAGGUUUACGUAUUAAUACUAGAGCUCAUGACGGUACCGUAAGAAUAAGCACCGGCUAACUACGUAGCCAGC